rnacentral:rRNA from 1 species
AAUUGACGGGACCCCGCACAAGCGGUGGAUCAUGUUGUUUAAUUCGAUGAUACGCGAAGAACCUUACCAGGUCUUGACAUCCCUUGCAAAGCUAUGGAGACAUAGUGGAGGUUAUCAAGGAGACAGGUGGUGCAUGGUUGUCGUCAGCUCGUGUCGUGAGAUGUUGGGUUAAGUCCCGCAACGAGCGCAACCCUUAUUGCUAGUUACCACCAUUAAGUUGGGGACUCUAGCGAGACUGCCAGUGAUAAACUGGAGGAAGGUGGGGAUGACGUCAAAUCAUCAUGCCCCUUAUGACCUGGGCUACAAACGUGAUACAAUGGCUGAAACAAAGGGCAGCGAAGCAGUGAUGUGGAGCGAAACCCAAAAAAGCAGUCUCAGUUCGGAUUGAAGUCUGCAACUCGACUUCAUGAAGUUGGAAUCGCUAGUAAUCGUAGAUCAGAACGCUACGGUGAAUACGUUCUCGGGGUUU